AACGCUAGCUACAGGCUUAACACAUGCAAGUCGAGGGGUAACAGGGAGCUUGCUCUGCUGACGACCGGCGCACGGGUGAGUAACGCGUAUGCAACCUACCCAUAUUUGGGGGAUAACCCGGAGAAAUUCGGAUUAACACCGCAUAACACUGCAGGAAGGCAUCUUCUCAGCAGUUAAAUAUUUAUAGAAUAUGGAUGGGCAUGCGUCUGAUUAGUUUGUUGGUGAGGUAAUGGCUCACCAAGACUACGAUCAGUAGGGGUUCUGAGAGGAAGGUCCCCCACACUGGUACUGAGACACGGACCAGACUCCUACGGGAGGCAGCAGUGAGGAAUAUUGGUCAAUGGGCGAGAGCCUGAACCAGCCAAGUAGCGU
rnacentral:rRNA from 1 species